rnacentral:rRNA from 1 species
UACGUAGGGGGCGAGCGUUGUCCGGAAUCAUUGGGCGUAAAGAGCGUGUAGGCGGCUUGGCAAGUCUGACGUGAAAGCCCGCGGCUCAACCGCGGAUUGUCGUUGGAAACUGCCUCGCUAGAGUCCGGAAGAGGAGAGCGGAAUCCGUGUGUGAGCGGUGAAAUGCGCAGAAUAUCAGGAGGAACACGGUGCGAAGGCGGGU